GUUUAAAAGAAACAUUCUGGAACAUGGCAGAUCACCAUCAGGAAUUCAAUCUGAAUCUUUUGGAAUCCUGUCGUACAGAGGCAGGCCAGCCUAGGCUGAGGAUCAUAUGAGAUUGUACAUCCAUCAUCCUUAAACCACUGCACUUGAUUUUCAGUGGGGCGAGCCUCUGGACAGGUGAUGAGCAGGCACACCCAGUUGGAUUAACUUUAACAGAAGAGACAAACGUGUGUUUACUGGAGUGUGGAGUUGCAAACAGACUGAAGGACAAUGGAUCUAAAAUAUAUAUCCUUUUAAAAUGUCAGAUUGUGGACUGAUGAGAUGGCUCAGUGGUUAAGGACACUCACAGAUCCUCUAGGGAAUCUGGGUACAAUUCCUAACAUCCACAUGGAAGCUCCCAACAUCUUUAACUACAGUCCCAAGGAAUUAAAUGUCCUCUUUUGACCUCCUCAGGAAUCAGGAAUACAUAUAGUGCACUGACAUGCAUGUAAACAAAAGACUCAUACAGAUAAAAUGAAUUAAAAAAAUAA